UCCCUUGUGGCUCAGACGGUAAAGCAUCUGCCUACUAUGUGGGAGACCCAGGUUCAAACCCUGGAUCGGGAA
rfam:TPA: Bos taurus chromosome 28, whole genome shotgun sequence.